rnacentral:rRNA from 1 species
UUUGAUCAUGGCUCAAAUUGAACGCUGGCGGAAUGCUUUACACAUGCAAGUCAAACGGCACCACGAGAGCUUGCUCUUGGUGGCGAGUGGCGAACGGGUGAGUAAUAUAUCGAAACGUAUCCAAUAAGGGGGGAUAACUAAUCAAAAGGUUGGCUAAUACCGCAUACCCCCUACGGGGAAAAGCAGGGAAUCUUCGGACCUUGCGUUAAUGGAGCGGCUGAUAUCUGAUUAGCUAGUAGGUGAGGUAAAGGCUCACCUAGGCAACAAUCAGUAGCUGGUCUGAAAGGACAACCACCCACACUGGAACUGAAACACGGUCCAAACUCCUACGGGAGGCAGCAGUGGGGAAUUUUGGACAAUGGGGGCAACCCUGAUCCACCCAUUCCGCGUGAGUGAAAAAGGCCUUCGGGUUGUAAAGCUCUUUCGCAAGGGAAAAAACAAUACAAACAAAUAAUCUGUGUUAAUGACGGUACCUUGAUAAAAAGCACCGGCUAACUAC